AUUGAACGCUGGCGGCAGGCCUAACACAUGCAAGUCGAGCGGAUGAAGGGAGCUUGCUCCUGGAUUCAGCGGCGGACGGGUGAGUAAUGCCUAGGAAUCUGCCUGGUAGUGGGGGAUAACGUCCGGAAACGGGCGCUAAUACCGCAUACGUCCUGAGGGAGAAAGUGGGGGAUCUUCGGACCUCACGCUAUCAGAUGAGCCUAGGUCGGAUUAGCUAGUUGGUGGGGUAAAGGCCUACCAAGGCGACGAUCCGUAACUGGUCUGAGAGGAUGAUCAGUCACACUGGAACUGAGACACGGUCCAGAAUCCUACGGGAGGCAGCAGUGGGGAAUAUUGGACAAUGGGCGAAAGCCUGAUCCAGCCAUGCCGCGUGUGUGAAGAAGGUCUUCGGAUUGUAAAGCACUUUAAGUUGGGAGAAGGGCAGUAAGUUCAUACCUUGCUGUUUUGACGUUACCAACAGAAUAAGCACCGGCUAACUUCGUG
rnacentral:rRNA from 1 species